AUACGGAGGGUGCAAGCGUUGUUCGGAAUCACUGGGCGUAAAGGGCGCGCAGGCGGUUUGUUAAGUCAGAUGUGAAAGCCCACGGCUCAACCGUGGAAGUGCAUUUGAAACUGGCAGACUUGAGUACCAGAGGGGGUAGUGGAAUUCCCGGUGUAGAGGUGAAAUUCGUAGAUAUCGGGAGGAAUACCGGUGGCGAAGGCGACUUCCUGGCUGGAUACUGACGCUGCGGCGCGAAAGCGUGGGGAGCAAACAGGAUUAGAUACCCCAGUAGUCC
rnacentral:rRNA from 1 species